rnacentral:rRNA from 1 species
AGGAUAAACGCUGGCGGCGUGCCUAACACAUGCAAGUCGAACGUCCUACGCAAGUAGGGAGUGGCGGACGGGUGAGUAACACGUGGGCAAUCUACCUUUCGGUGAGGAAUACCGGCGAGAAAUCGCCGACAAUACCGCAUACGCUUCGCAAGAAGCAAAGUCGCAAGACGCCGGAGGAGGAGCCUGCGCCCGAUUAGCUCGUUGGUGGAGUAAUGGUCUACCAAGGCGACGACGGGUAG